rnacentral:rRNA from 1 species
GUGAUCAGCUUUGAUCAAUCUCUUCAACGUGAGAGUUUGAUCCUGGCUCAGAGCGAACGCUGGCGGCAGGCUUAACACAUGCAAGUCGAGCGGGCACUUCGGUGUCAGCGGCGGACGGGUGAGUAACGCGUGGGAACGU